rnacentral:rRNA from 1 species
GAUGAACGCUAGCGGCAGGCUUAACACAUGCAAGUCGAGGGGUAUAGGUUUUCGGACCUAGAGACCGGCGCACGGGUGCGUAACGCGUAUGCAAUCUACCUUUUGCAGAGGGAUAGCCCCAGAGAAAUUUGGAUUAAUACCUCAUAGUAUAUGGACUUCGCAUGGAGACCAUAUUAAAGUUCCAACGGCAAAAGAUGAGCAUGCGUCCCAUUAGCUAGAUGGUAAGGUAACGGCUUACCAUGGCUACGAUGGGUAGGGGUCCUGAGAGGGAGAUCCCCCCACACUGGUACUGAGACACGGACCAGACUCCUACGGGAGGCAGCAGUGAGGAAUAUUGGGCAAUGGGCGCAAGCCUGAUCCAGCCAUGCCGCGUGCAGGAUGACGGUCCUAUGGAUUGUAAACUGCUUUUUGUACAGGAAGAAACACUGGGUUCGUGAACCAGCUUGACGGUACUGUAAGAAUAAGGAUCGGCUAACUCC